CACAGCAUGCGUGAACGUGCUGAUGAUGUAUUCUGUCUGCGCGAACCGGGUGUGCAUAGGUAUGCAAAUAUAUAUGUUGACAGGCAGGUAGGAAAGCCAAGUUAAACGCUCGGAUCGAACAUUUCUUUGUCCUAUGCCUUCUAAAGAAUACAUAAAUACAGUUAAAUACAUUUAGACCACUUAACUUAAUGAUUGCUAUUGGGAUGUAAAGAGACUUUCAACCAGCAUAACAAAAAAUGUUUCUGAAGACAAUCCCCUAUUGCACCUUUAAAAGUACGUCAUCAUUCAUCCCUUUGUGAAUUCCCUGCACUCUGCACUAUUAUCACUUUGAGUUUUAUUCUGACUGGAGCCAAAGGCUGCUCACACCAAAGCCUCUUUAUGCUUUUGCUAGAUGGGAGCUGUCCUGCCAUCAGGGCAUUGCUAAAAUCUCUUCAGAACAGAGCACAUGAGACACACUGAGUGGCAAUAAUGGCACAGUAGGUUGACUCAAGAUUGAGUAGAAAAAGCAAGAGAAUGGAUAGAGUGAAAGAGACAGAGCUCACAACAAAAACAAGUGUGUGCUGUUCGCUCUGUCUGAUCACACAGUCAAGACUUGUGUGUGCUUUAACUCACGCGCCUGGUCCAUGUUCUAAGGUAAAGAACCCCCUUCCUAACUCGCAUAGGAGGAGGGGCGAAUCUAAUACUCUGUUCAAAUGUCAGUUUUCAGUUGUUGCUGUCCACUUCCCCAGUUACAUGUGCUAAUCUAUUAACUUCAUUUGGGAAAAAUAGGAACACAGUCCUCUUUGGAGGGGUUGUUGGCCUCAGUGUUUCACAGAACUGACUCAAAGAAUUCAUGAAAAAUUCCUUGGACAUUUCUGGGAGUCCAUUGGGUGUGUCCUGUUAAUUUGCCUCUAAUACAACAUUACAUUACAUGACUCUAUUCUCAGCACAAUCUAUGUUAAAAAAAACAAACCAUUCUACAGUCGUUGACCAAACUCAACCCCAAAGCUCAGUUUUGCAAUGACCUGUGCUUGAAAAAUCAUCCACUGUGAACCUAUGCUAGAGCAGUUCUGAGGAAAAUGACCCAACAGUUCUUGUUUAGACCCAUCCCAGUGUUUUGUAUUUAAGUUUUCAGCACUAUAACUUUUAGUUUAAAUUUAUAAGAUACUUUAACUUAUUAAAUUAAAUUCUGCCAGUGUUUUGAUUUUUGUAGACUUGAAGUAGACCUCGGCCAAAGAGGUUUGAUCCUGCAGCCUCUGUAGUAAUGAAUUAGAAAAUGUUGCUUUUACACACAGACAAGAGAUUAUGCAUAUGAACUUUGCCUGCUUGACCAAAAAAUAAGACAUACAGUAGCAAAGCUGUUGCAACAACAUUCAUCCAAAACUGCUUGUUUCUCUCUCUCUCUCUCUUCCUCUCCUUUUUCUAUGUCCACAGUUGAAAAACAUACUGUCUCAAGUGUCAGGAACAAAAACAAGUUGGCCAUCCUCACAUACUAAGAGAAGGAGAAAAUGAAAAAAUAAAAAUAAAAAAAAAGAUUGACCCUGCCCUUUGUGUGCAGUCGGUCAGCCUUUUGUCCUCAUUAAUCUCUCCCUCCAUCUUGGUUUGUUGUUCAGCAGGAAAGAGGGAUCAAAAUAAGUGUGGAAGCUCUUCGCAUGGAGCAACACCCCAUAAAAUGAUGCACAACAUUUUUAUUUGAUUUUUAGGAAAAUAAUUAUUGUUUGUUUGUAAGAAGAAAUUUGCAUUUUUAACAAAAUAUCUGAAUAUUUGUGAAUACAUGUUAUUUUUAAAAAAAAAUGCUCUGGGAUGCUCAAAAUGCACACAAAAAAGUAAUGCUAAGAAGGGGGGCAUUAAAUAUAUUGACAGAAAAACCUCCACUGUACCACGUAUUAUGGGUACCUUUUGUGUACUGAAACUGGAAGCUGAGAAAAACCAAUGUCCUGUAUUAGUUUAUGUGAGGAGCUCUGAUAAUGUUUGUUUAAUGGAACUAAAAGUGCUCUGUAAAUGUGUUCUGUGUUUAAAAGAACGUUAAAGAAGUUUUGUGUUUCGAGUCUGCUUUCAGAGUCUGCUUUCCAACCUGCAUUACAGAUUAUAUUUGAGAACAUUGUUGGGAAGACCAAAAUUAUCUGGUUAUAGCUACACUCAGUCUACAUUUAAAGCCUUGCUUUGGCUGGUUUUGUUGUCAAGUGUUACAUUUUGGUCUGCGUCUGAAAUAGCAAAUCUUUGAACAGUAUAUUUCAGUAAAAACAUUGUGUGAAUAGUUGUUUUUAAAUUUAAUAAUCAAAAGUUACAUUACACAAAUUAUGAUUCAAGAAGCUUAUUGGCAUGGUAAAAGAAAGCAUUACAUUGCUAAGGCAUUAGUAGCAAUGUACUGUCGAUCACAAAAAAACAAACAAAAAAUUAUUGCAGUACUGUUCAAAAAUUUGGGGUUGAUUUUAAAAACGUUUAUUUAUUUUUUUAUUUGUGAAGAAAGUCUAUUAUGUGCACCAAGGCAAAACGGUUAUAUUGUGACAUAUUACAAUUUAAAACAACUAUUUUUCUAAUUUAAAGGGGUCAUAUGAUGCGAUUUAAAUUUUUCCUUUCUCUUUUGAGUGUUACAAGCUCUUGGUGCAUAAAGAAGAUCUGUGAAGUUGCAAAGACCAAAGCCUCAAAUCCACAGAGAUAUUCUUUAUAAAAGUUUAGACUCGUCCACGGCCCCCUAAAACGGCUCGUCCUAACACGCCCCCACAUGUCUUUGUCACUAUUUGUAAAGAUUUGCAUAAUGCCGCCCAAAUGUUAUUGCAAAGAAAGAAGGCACACCUUUUAUUCUCAUUGUAAUAUUGUUUUUGCCGGCGCCUCCAUGUUGUAUAGACGCUGUGUGUUUUGUUUUGAAAGCGAAAUUACUUUGUUUGGCCUUCCAAAAGAGUAUGAUAUCUGAUUCGUCGUGUCUGAAGCUAAUACGUGCUGGUCGCUGAGGAAUUACAUCAACUUUGCACUGUGGAUUGCCGGAACGGCUUUGACCGUGGACGAAUCCGUCGGCCGCACUGUUCUCAAGCCCGCCCGCCUCUGCUCACUCAAGCCGGCCUCCGCUCACUCUAGGCCUCCGGUCUCGGCUCACUCAAGACCUUCACUCACUCAUUUCGUUUCGUUGAGAAAGCAAAACUACUUUGUUUGGCCUUCCAAAAGAGGACAUGAGUAGAAAUCAUGUUUAUAUCACGUUUAUAAUUGGUUUUAUGUUAAUGUCCCGUCACUCUGGCCAGAUGGGGCAUCACAAUAUGUUAAGGGGCGUAACAUUUCCAUCACGCUUGAGGUAUUCGGCCAAUCACAAUGCACUGGAUAGCUGGCCAAUCAGAGCACACCUCACUUUUCAGAUCGAUGAGCUUUUAAAAAUCAACACGUUUUAGAAAGCGGGGCAUAGAGGAGAAACAAUAAUGUACAGUAUGUGGAAAAUAAUGUUUUUUUUUAAACCUUAAACCACACAUCUCAUUUAAUUACACCAAAUAAUAUUCUUUUAAGCAAAAUCAUAUGACCCCUUUAAUGUAUUUUAAAAUGUAAUGUAUUCCUGUGAUGGCAAAAAGCUGAAUUUUCAGCAUCCAUUACUCUAGUCACAUGAUCCUUUAUCUAAUAUGCUAAUUUGGUGAUCAGGAAACAUUCAUUAAAAUCAAUGUUGAAAACGGCUGCUCAAUAUUUGAAACAACGUAAAGUAUGUGUCACUUUUGAUCAAUUUAAUAAUUCAUUCCCGGAUAAAAGUAUUUUUAUAUAAUUA